rnacentral:rRNA from 1 species
AGAGUUUGAUCAUGGCUCAGAGCGAACGUUAGCGGCACGCCUAACACAUGCAAGUCGCACGAGAGUGGAGCAAUCCAUGAAAGUGGCGCACGGGUGCGUAACACGUAGAUAAUCUGCCCUUUGGCGGGGGAUAACGUUCCGAAAGGAGCGCUAAUACCGCAUACAGCAGUUUCUGGUUCGCCAGAGAUUGGCAAAGGUUGGGACCAGCAAUGGCCAAUCGCCGAAGGAGGAGUCUGCGGCCCAUCAGCUAGUUGGUAAGGUAACGGCUUACCAAGGCAGAGACGGGUAGCUGGUCUGAGAGGAUGAUCAGCCACACUGGUACUGGAACACGGACCAGACUCCUACGGGAGGCAGCAGUGGGGAAUCUUGGUCAAUGGGCGCAAGCCUGAACCAGCGAUGCCGCGUGAGUGAUGAAGGCCUUCGGGUUGUAAAGCUCUGUGGGGAGGGACGAAAACCUUGGUUCUAACAGGACUGAAUUUGACGGUACCUCCUUAGCAAGCACCGGCUAACUCUGUGCCAGCAGCCGCGGUAAUAC